GACACGACGGGCGUGGGGCCGCGGUGAUGCUGGGGGUGCGAGCGUUGUCGGGAUGCAUUGGGCGGAAAGAGGGCGUAGGCGGUUCAGUAGGUCGGGUGUGAAAUCUCCGGGCUCAACACGGAGCGGCCACCUGAGACUGCUGUGAGUCGAGGCCGGUAGGGGAGUGUGGAAUUCCCGGUGUAGCGGUGAAAUGCGCAGAUAUCGGGAGGAACACCAGGAGCGAAGGCGGCACUCUGGGCCGUGACUGACGCUGAGGAGCGAAAGCGUGGGUAGCAAACAGGAUUAGAUACCCGUGUAGUC
rnacentral:rRNA from 1 species